rnacentral:misc_RNA from 1 species
AACGCACAUUGCGCCCUCUGGUAUUCCGGGGGGCAUGCCUGUUCGAGCGUCAUUAACACCCCUCAAGCCUCGCUUGACGUUGGGCGUCGUCAAAACCCCGGGUCUCCCGGGGCUGACGUGCCUGAAAAAUGGUGACGGCCGCGUCCGGUCCCCGAGCGUAGUACGAUCUCGCUUCAUGAAAUCAUCGCUUCCGGGUCGGGCGUCAGCGCCGGGCAAAAACCCCCUUUUAUUUCUAAGGUUGACCUCGGAUCAGGUAGGGAUACCCGCUGAACUUAA